rnacentral:rRNA from 1 species
GACGUAGGGCGCGAGCGUUGUUCCGGAUUUACUGGGCGUAAAGGGCGUGCAGGGCGGUUUGUUAAGUGCAGGGUGAAAGCUCCCGGACUCGAACUGGGAGAGGUCCCUUGCAUACUGGCGAACUCGAGGGAGGCAGAGGAAAGUGGAAUUCCCGGUGUAGUGGUGAUAUGCGUAGAUAAUCGGGAGGAACACCUGUGGCGAAGGCGGACG